GACGAACGCUGGCGGCGUGCUUAACACAUGCAAGUCGAACGGAAAGGCCCUGCUUUUGUGGGGUGCUCGAGUGGCGAACGGGUGAGUAACACGUGAGUAACCUGCCCUUGACUUUGGGAUAACUUCAGGAAACUGGGGCUAAUACCGGAUAGGAGCUCCUGCUGCAUGGUGGGGGUUGGAAAGUUUCGGCGGUUGGGGCUGGACUCGCGGCUUAUCAGCUUGUUGGUGGGGUAGUGGCAUACCAAGGCUUUGACGGGUAGCCGGCCUGAGAGGGUGAACGGCCACAUUGGGACUACGGUACGGCCCAGACGCCUACGGGAGGCAGCAGUGGGGAAUAUUGCACAAUGGGCGCAAGCCUGUUGCAGCAACGCCGCGUGCGGGAUGACGGCCUUCUGGUUGUAAACCGCUGUCGCCUGUGACGAAGCGGUAGUGACGGUAAUGAGUAAAGAAGCACCGGCUAACUACGUG
rnacentral:rRNA from 1 species